CAUUCGUGCUCCUGUCAAACAACAGCCUACAAGCAAGCUUUUUCCUGCAAUGAAACCAUCAUGAUUAUCUAGUUUGAUAGGAAUUAUUUAUAGACAAGCAAAUUUGAUAAGUUACAAUCCCAUUGUUAUGGUUUGUUUGGUUGCUUAAAUAAAAUGAAUUGCAAUAUCUCAAAUCAUUUUCAGUGAAAUGAACUACGUGGAAUGAGCCCCAAUUCACUCAAAACAAGAGAUUAGCCCCCAAAUUGCCUUCGGAGCUGGGUUGCCUGCAACAUCCUUAUCGCAGAAGACUUCAAAAGAUUCUUUGAGUGCCUACAAAAUGACCCAUAAUAUGUAAGUAAACAGAAAAAGAAAAAAGAGAGAGAAAGAGAGGGAGAACUCUAAAAGCCCAAAAAUUGACUUUGUGGAAGAGAGCAUGGUUCAUAAAAUUGUUUUUUAUGUAGCCCAUGUACCUGUUGUGAAGUGUAAUAAGGUCUCUUAUGAAAACCUGAUCUUGUGAUUUGAUGGUGUCUUUAUUCUCCGCCUAAGGACUUAUGUUCUCCAUUCCUCAAGUUCUUUGUAAUAGUUAUCCAACUGCACCAUCCCAAUUCCAAUGCCGAAAGCCAUGAAAUAAAUGAAUGAAAAUCGCAAAUUUUCAGAUCUAAUCGCCAUGCACCCAAACAUAGAAGAAUUGUUCUGUAUGUAUGACAAUAACAUAUGCUUGAAUCUGA